rnacentral:rRNA from 1 species
ACUCCUACGGGAGGCAGCAGUGAGGAAUAUUGGUCAAUGGACGGAAGUCUGAACCAGCCAAAUCGCGUGAAGGAAGACAGGCCUAUGGGUUGUAAACUUCUUUUAUAUGGGAAUAAAGUGCGCUACGUGUAGCGUUUUGUAUGUACCAUAUGAAUAAGGACCGGCUAACUCCGUGCCAGCAGCCGCGGUAAUA